AUGAGGCAUUUGACAGUGGGGGACGCCAGAUUAAUUUUGAUAAUCCCGGUUUCUUUAAUGCGCACCUAAAUCUAAGUACACGGGCGUUUUCGCAUUUCG
rnacentral:lncRNA from 1 species